UACGAAGGGGGCUAGCGUUGUUCGGAAUUACUGGGCGUAAAGCGCGCGUAGGCGGACAUUUAAGUCAGGGGUGAAAUGCCGGGGCUCAACCUCGGAACUGCCUUUGAUACUGGAAAGCUUGAGUUCGGGAGAGGUGAGUGGAACUGCGAGUGUAGAGGUGAAAUUCGUAGAUAUUCGCAAGAACACCGGUGGCGAAGGCGGG
rnacentral:rRNA from 1 species